UCACAAAAGUUGGUAAUAUACCAUUCCCAUAGCCUUAAUACUGACUAUAUGUCUUGCAUUUUAUAAGAAAUGUAUUUUUAAAUAUUUUAUAUUAUAGUUUUAUUUUUCCAAUAGUUAAGCGUAAAAAAUUUUAUAUAUUGUAAAAAAAAAGUUUAAUCAGAAAUAUAUAAGACGUGUUCAAAUGAAAACUGUUCGAAACGCGCCACAUGAUGAAUUGACAUUUCAGUUUUGGAACACGGAUGUUAAAUUGAAGCUAUAUGUGUUGCGCACGCGUAGUGUUCUUGAAUUCUGCACUUGGGUCAUUUUUAAACAGCAUGAUAUAACCUUGAAGAUUGCUAGGAUAAUUGAAAAUCCGUCCAAGCAGGAUGUGUAGGGUGGUGGUGUUGGUGAGUGUCCCGCAUGCUGGGUGGGCGCCGCAGGGAACAGCGGGUGGAUCUCGGCUUGCAGCAUUUGGUGCCCUGCUGCAAUGAGGGCGGCGAACAAUUCCUGUGGAGCAUAGUGAUGUUUCACCGAAUUGUUCGCCCUCAUUGCAGUAGCCGCGUCGGGUGCUGCAGGCUGGGAUCCGUUCGCUGUUCCUUGUGGUGUUCGCCCGGCAUGCGGGGCACUCAUUGGCGCCACUACCUUGCAUGUCCUGCUUGGACGGUUUUUCAAUCAUACCAACCAUUUACUUCACGCGUUUAAAAAUGACGCAAGUGCGGAGUUUGAGAGCAUUGAGCGUGCGCAACACAUACAGCUUCAUUUGAACACUCCUUAUAAAAUCUCUAUUUUUAUACUGUGAUGUCACAAUUUGUAUAGCCUACGCCCUUAUGCCAUUUAUCGUCACAAAUCUAUUAUCUUUUCCCUCCGCUAACUGUGAUAUAAUUUAUGAAUGCAUUCUAUAUUUUAAUAUGAUAAUAUGACCAAUUAAUUUUUAAUUAUAGAACUG
rnacentral:lncRNA from 1 species